GCAGGGGUUGCCAAGUCAGGUCAAAGGCGCAGGAUUCAGGGUCCUGUCUCGAAGGGGUUCGCCGGUUCGAAUCCGGCCCCCUGCA
rnacentral:tRNA from 2 species